rnacentral:rRNA from 1 species
AGUGAACGCUGGCGGUAGGCCUAACACAUGCAAGUCGAACGGCAGCACAGUAAGAGCUUGCUCUUACGGGUGGCGCGUGGCGGACGGGUGAGGAAUACAUCGGAAUCUACUUUUUCGUGGGGGCUAACGUAGGGAAACUUACGCUAAUACCGCAUACGACCUACGGGUGAAAGCAGGGGAUCUUCGGACCUUUCGCGAUUGAAUGAGCCUAUGUCGGAUUAGCUAGUUGGCGGGGUAAAGGCCCAACAAGGCGACGAUCCGUAGCUGGUCUGAGAGGAUGAUCAGCCACACUGGAACUGAGACACGGUCCAGACUCCUACGGGAGGCAGCAGUGGGGAAUAUUGGACAAUGGGCGCAAGCCUGAUCCAGCCAUACCGCGUGGGUGAAGAAGGCCUUCGGGUUGCAAAGCCCUUUUGUUGGGAAAGAAAAGCAGCAGGUUAAUACCCCGCUGUUCUGACGGUACCCAAAGAAUAAGCACCGGCUAACUUCGUG